GAUGAACGCUGACAGAAUGCUUAACACAUGCAAGUCGAUGGGGAAGUGGUGCUUGCACCAUGGCAACCAUGGCGGACGGGUGAGUAACGCGUAAGGGACUUACCUGCAGGACUGGGAUAACAGGGGGAAACUCCUGACAAGACCGGAUAAUGUCAUGGAGCUGCAUGGCUUUAUGAUGAAAGGAGACGCCUGCGGAGAGCCUUGCGUCCUAUUAGCUAGUUGGUGAGGUAAUGGCUCACCAAGGCGAAGUUAGGUAGCCGGCCUGAGAGGGUGGACGGCCACAAGGGGACUGAGAUACGGCCCUUACUCCUACGGGAGGCAGCAGUGGGGAAUAUUGGACAAUGGGGGCAACCCUGAUCCAGCAAUUCUGUGUGCACGAAGAAGGUUUUCGGAGUGUAAAGUGCUUUCAGCAGGGAAGAAGUAAGUGACGGUACCUGCAGAAGAAGCGACGGCUAAAUACGUG
rnacentral:rRNA from 1 species